rnacentral:rRNA from 1 species
CCUACGGGAGGCAGCAGUAGGGAAUCUUCCACAAUGGACGAAAGUCUGAUGGAGCAACGCCGCGUGAGUGAUGAAGGUUUUCGGAUCGUAAAACUCUGUUGUAAGGGAAGAACAAGUACGAGAGGGAAUGCUCGUACCUUGACGGUACCUUGCGAGAAAGCCACGGCUAACUACGUGCCAGCAGCCGCGGUAAUACGUAGGUGGCAAGCGUUGUCCGGAAUUAUUGGGCGUAAAGCGCGCGCAGGCGGCCUUUUAAGUCUGAUGUGAAAGCCCCCGGCUCAACCGGGGAGGGUCAUUGGAAACUGGAAGGCUUGAGUACAGAAGAGAAGAGUGGAAUUCCAUGUGUAGCGGUGAAAUGCGUAGAGAUGUGGAGGAACACCAGUGGCGAAGGCGACUCUUUGGUCUGUAAACUGACGCUGAGGCGCGAAAGCGUGGGGAGCAAAACAGGGAUUAGAUACCCUGGUAGUCCACGCCGUAAACGAUGAGNGCUAGUGGUUGGGGGUUUCCGGUCCCGUCCUAGUGCGUGAAGACGUAACGACAUUAAGACGACCUCCGCCGUCGGGGAGGUACGGGCCGGCCGAAGGACGUUGAAACGUACGAAAGGAAAGUUAGACGGCGUUGAGGACGUUGACCGAACGGACGACCGAACGAAGGGGAAGGAGGGAGG